rnacentral:rRNA from 1 species
CACCAGACUCCUACGGGAGGCAGCAGUGGGGGAUAUUGCACAAUGGGGGAAACCCUGAUGCAGCGACGCCGCGUGGGCGAAGAAGUAUUUCGGUAUGUAAAGCCCUAUCAGCAGGGAAGAAGAAAUGACGGUACCUGAGUAAGAAGCACCGGCUAACUACGUGCCAGCAGCCGCGGUAAUACGUAGGGGGCAAGCGUUAUCCGGAUUUACUGGGUGUAAAGGGAGCGUAGACGGCAAGGCAAGUCUGGAGUGAAAGCCCGUGGCCCAACCACGGGACUGCUUUGGAAACUGUGUUGCUGGAGUGCAGGAGGGGUAAGCGGAAUUCCUAGUGUAGCGGUGAAAUGCGUAGAUAUUAGGAGGAACACCGGUGGCGAAGGCGGCUUACUGGACUGUAACUGACGUUGAGGCUCGAAGGCGUGGGGAGCAAACAGGAUUAGAUACCCGUGUAUC